GCACUAGGCCGAGCGAGGAUGAAGCACAACCCGAUUAUGGACGCCAUAGGCCUUCUUACGGUGGAGAAGAAGAAGAGUCGGGCUACCGCAAGCCAAGACCUGCAUACGGUGAAGAAGAAGAAGAGUCGGGCUACCGCAAGCCAAGACCCUCAUACGGCGAAGAAGAAUCCGAGGAAGGGGGAUACCGCAAGUCCAGACCUUCCUACGGCGAGGAAGAGUCCGAGGAGGGAGGAUACCGCAAAUCGAGACCCUCAUAUGGCGAGGAAGAGUCCGAGGAGGGAGGAUACCGCAAAUCCAGACCCUCAUAUGGCGAGGAAGAGUCCGAGGAGGGAGGAUACCGCAAAUCCAGACCCUCAUAUGGCGAGGAAGAGUCCGAGGAGGGAGGAUACCGCAAGCCGAAACCUAAAUACGGCGACGACGAGGAGGUGUCCGAUUACCGUAGGUCAGGAUACGGUGAAGAAGAAGAGUCUGGUUAUCGCGAACCGAAGC
rnacentral:lncRNA from 1 species